CCUACGGGAGGCAGCAGUGAGGAAUAUUGGUCAAUGGGCGCGCGCCUGAACCAGCCAAGUCGCGUGAGGGAAGACGGUCCUAUGGAUUGUAAACCUCUUUUGUCGGGGAGCAAAAGACGCCACGCGUAGCGUUCCGAGAGUACCCGAAGAAAAAGCAUCGGCUAACUCCGUGCCAGCAGCCGCCGUAAUACGGAGGAUGCGAGCGUUAUCCGGAUUUAGUGGGUUUAAAGGGUGCGCAGGCGGAAGAUCAAGUCAGCGGUAAAAUUGAGAGGCUCAACCUCUUCGAGCCGGUGAAACUGGUUUUCUUGAGUGAGUGAGAAGUAUGCGGAAUGCGUGGUGUAGCGGUGAAAUGCAUAGAUAUCACGCAGAACUCCGAUUGCGAAGGCAGCAUACCGGCGCUCAACUGACGCUCAUACACGAAAGUGUGGGUAUCGAACAGGAUUAGAUACCCGAGUAGUC
rnacentral:rRNA from 1 species